rnacentral:tRNA from 1 species
GGUAGGAUGGCCGAGUGUAUAGGUGGUGGGUUGUAGCCCCGAAGACAGAGGUUUAAUUCCUCUUCCUACCA